rnacentral:rRNA from 1 species
UAGGGAAUCUUCCACAAUGGGCGAAAGCCUGAUGGAGCAACGCCGCGUGUGUGAUGAAGGGUUUCGGCUCGUAAACACUGUUGUAAGAGAAGAAUGACAUUGAGAGUAACUGUUCAAUGUGUGACGGUAUCUUACCAGAAAGGAACGGCUAAAUACGUACCAG